UACGGGGGAGCAAGCGUUGUUCGGAUUUACUGGGCGUAAAGGGCGCGUAGGCGGCCACCGCAAGUCAGUUGUGAAAUCUCUGGGCUUAACCCAGAACGGUCAGCUGAUACUGCGGGCUAGAGUGCAGAAGGGGCAACUGGAAUUCUCGGUGUAGCGGUGAAAUGCGUAGAUAUCGAGAGGAACACCUGCGGCGAAGGCGGGUUGCUGGGCUGACACUGACGCUGACAGCGCGAAAGCUAGGGGAGCGAACGGG
rnacentral:rRNA from 1 species